GACGAACGCUGGCGGCAUGCCUAAUACAUGCAAGUCGAGCGAACAGAUGAAGUGCUUGCACUUCUGACGUUAGCGGCGAACGGGUGAGUAACACGUAAGGAAUCUACCUAUAAGCGGGGGAUAACAUUCGGAAACGGGUGCUAAUACCGCAUAAUAUCUUCUUCCGCAUGGAAGAAGAUUGAAAGACGGCUCUGCUGUCACUUAUAGAUGACCUUGCGGUGCAUUAGUUAGUUGGUGGGGUAAUGGCCUACCAAGACGAUGAUGCAUAGCCGGCCUGAGAGGGUGAUCGGCCACAUUGGGACUGAGACACGGCCCAAACUCCUACGGGAGGCAGCAGUAGGGAAUCUUCCGCAAUGGGCGAAAGCCCGACGGAGCAAUGCCGCGUGAGUGAAGAAGGCCUUCGGGUCGUAAAACUCUGUUAUAAGAGAAGAACAAAUUGUAGAGUAACUGCUACAGUCUUGACGGUAUCUUAUCAGAAAGCCACGGCUAACUACGUGCCAGCCGCCGCGGUAA
rnacentral:rRNA from 1 species